rnacentral:rRNA from 1 species
CGGGACCGCACAAGCGGUGGAUGAUGUGGAUAAUUCGAUGCAACGCGAAGAACCUUACCUACCCUUGACAUGUCCGGAACUUGCCAGAGAUGGCUUGGUGCCCGAAAGGGAAUCGGAACACAGGUGCUGCAUGGCUGUCGUCAGCUCGUGUCGUGAGAUGUUGGGUUAAGUCCCGCAACGAGCGCAACCCUUAUCAUUAGUUGCUACGCAAGGGCACUCUAAUGAGACUGCCGGUGACAAACCGGAGGAAGGUGGGGAUGACGUCAAGUCCUCAUGGCCCUUAUGGGUAGGGCUUCACACGUCAUACAAUGGUCGGUACAGAGGGUUGCCAACCCGCGAGGGGGAGCUAAUCCCACAAAGCCGAUCGUAGUCCGGAUCGCAGUCUGCAACUCGACUGCGUGAAGUCGGAAUCGCUAGUAAUCGUGGAUCAGCAUGUCACGGUGAAUACGUUCCCGGGUCUU